UAGCUCAGUUGGUUAGAGCAUGGUGCUGAUAACACCAAGGCCGUGGGUUCGAUCCCUGC
rnacentral:tRNA from 1 species